rnacentral:rRNA from 1 species
GACGAACGCUGGCGGCGUGCUUAACACAUGCAAGUCGAACGAAGAGCGAUGGAAGCUUGCUUCUAUCAAUCUUAGUGGCGAACGGGUGAGUAACGCGUAAUCAACCUGCCCUUCAGAGGGGGACAACAGUUGGAAACGACUGCUAAUACCGCAUACGAUCCAAUCUCGGCAUCGGGACUGGAUGAAAGGUGGCCUCUAUUUAUAAGCUAUCACUGAAGGAGGGGAUUGCGUCUGAUUAGCUAGUUGGAGGGGUAACGGCCCACCAAGGCGAUGAUCAGUAGCCGGUCGGAGAGGAUGAACGGCCACAUUGGGACUGAGACACGGCCCAGACUCCUACGGGAGGCAGCAGUGGGGAAUCUUCCGCAAUGGACGAAAGUCUGACGGAGCAACGCCGCGUGAGUGAUGACGGCCUUCGGGUUGUAAAGCUCUGUUAAUCGGGACGAAUGGUUCUUGUGCGAAUAGUGCGAGGAUUUGACGGUACCGGAAUAAAAAGCCACGGCUAACUACGUG